rnacentral:rRNA from 1 species
UACGUAGGGUGCAAGCGUUGUCCGGAAUUAUUGGGCGUAAAGAGCUCGUAGGCGGUUUGUCGCGUCGGCUGUGAAAACCCGGGGCUCAACCCCGGGCCUGCAGUCGAUACGGGCAAACUAGAGUGCGGUAGGGGAGACUGGAAUUCCUGGUGUAGCGGUGAAAUGCGCAGAUAUCAGGAGGAACACCGGUGGCGAAGGCGGUGGUCUGGGCCGGAACUGACGCUGAGGAGCGAAAGCGUGGGGAGCAAACAGG